UACGUAGGUGGCGAGCGUUGUCCGGAUUUACUGGGCGUAAAGAGCGCGCAGGCGGUCGUUCAAGUCGCGUGUGAAAGCCCCCGGCUCAACUGGGGAGGGUCACGCGAUACUGAUCGACUCGAAGGCAGGAGAGGGAAGUGGAAUUCCCGGUGUAGUGGUGAAAUGCGUAGAUAUCGGGAGGAACACCAGUGGCGAAGGCGACUUCCUGGACUGUUCUUGACGCUGAGGCGCGAAAGCUAGGGGAGCAAACGGG
rnacentral:rRNA from 1 species